AUGUACCGCAGACAUCCUGUAACUGAAGUGCUGGUGCAAUGGGCCAACUUACCAAAGGAAGAUGCCACUUGGGAGUCCUACAGCAUGCUAAAGGAGAAGUUUCCAGAAUUUGAUGCUACUCAGCCUUGAGGACAAGGCUGAAUUAAAGGAGGCGGGAUUGUUAGGAUAUUUUUAUUUUUCCUUUUAUUUUUUGUGCUUUCCUUUUAUUUUCUGCGUAUUUAUUAAGUCUGUUUAGUUUAGCUAAAGUCGGAACUCUAUAAAUAGGGAUGUAAUUG
rnacentral:lncRNA from 1 species